rnacentral:rRNA from 1 species
UACGUAGGGUGCAAGCGUUGUCCGGAAUUAUUGGGCGUAAAGAGCUCGUAGGCGGCUUGUCGCGUCGGCUGUGAAAACCUGGGGCUUAACCCCAGUCCUGCUUCCGAUACGGGUGGACUAGAGGUAGGUAGGGGAGAACGGAAUUCCUGGUGUAGCGGUGAAAUGCGCAGAUAUCAGGAGGAACACCGAUGGCGAAGGCAGGUCUCUGGGCCAUAACUGACGCUGAGAGGCGAAAGCAUGGGGAGCGAACAGG